GACGAACGCUGGCGGCGUGCUUAACACAUGCAAGUCGAACGGAAAGGCCCUGCUUUUGUGGGGUGCUCGAGUGGCGAACGGGUGAGUAACACGUGAGUAUCCUGCCCUUGACUUUGGGAUAACUUCAGGAAACUGGGGCUAAUACCGGAUAGGAGCUCCUGCUGCAUGGUGGGGGUUGGAAAGUUUCGGCGGUUGGGGAUGGACUCGCGGCUUAUCCGCUUGUUGGGGGGGUAGUGGCUUACCAAGGCUUUGACGGGUAGCCGGCCUGAGAGGGUGACCGGCCACCAUGGGACUGAGAGACGGCCCAGACUGCUACGGGAGGCAGCAGGGGGGAAUAUUGCACAAUGGGCGGAAGCCUGAUGCAGCAACGCCGCGUGCGGGAUGACGGCCUUCUGGUUGUAAACCGCUUUCGCCUGUGACGAAGCGGGAGUGACGGUAAUGGGUAAAGAAGCACCGGCUAACUACGUG
rnacentral:rRNA from 1 species